GAAGAAGAGAUCAAUUUCUGUUUCUUCUUCCCUACUCCAAACUUCUGGAAGGUCUUCCUGAAUGUGACCCAUGCUUGGGUCCCAUCUAAAGAAGCCAGUGAGAAAGCAAAUAAAUUUAUCAACGUACUCAAAUGACAAGAAAAAGCACAAACUUCAGAGGGCAGUAAGAUGGGGCCAUUAUUUUCCCAUGAGUAUCUAUUAAUCUCUGGUAUGCUCAGUCCUGGGUUUUAAUAAGCCAAUGUAUGAAGGGUAGGAGAAAAAGACAAUGUGUGAGAUUCGCUUAGAGACAACAACUCAUUCCCCACUGCCGCUGAAAACAUGGACUCUCAAAGGGUAACAUUCUCAGUUGUCAAACUAGGAAAAACCUACACUCAAAAUGAGAUAGUGAUAUGCACACCUCUCUCAGCUUUAUUGUGAAAGAAAGACAAAAAGUAAAAAAGCCUUGGGGCUGACCCUGUGGCUGAGUGGUUAAGUUUGUGCACUGCACUUCUGACGACCCAGGGUUUUGCAGGUUCAGAUCACAGGCGCGGACAUGGCACUACUCGUCAGGCCAUGCUGGGGCAGCAUCCCACACAACACAACCAGAGGCACUCACAACUAGAAUAUAAAACUAUAUUCUGAGGGUCUUUGGGAGAAGAAAAAAAAAAAAGAAGAUUGGCAACAGCUGUUACCUCAGCUGCCACUCUUAAAAAAAAAGUAAAAAAGCCUUCCCUGAUAAUUCUUUUUGUAAAAUUUAUUUUUAUUGAGAUAAAAUUCACAUAUCACAGUGUGUAAGUUUAAGAGAGUCAGCGUGUUGAUUUGAAACUUUUACAUAUUGCAAUAUGCUUACCAUGCUAGCAUUAGCUAACACUUCUGUCAUGUCACAUAGGUAGAUUUCUUUUUUUGUGGUUGGAACAAUUAAGAUCCAGCCUGUACAGAUUUUGAAAUAUAGUGAUGUACAUUUGCAAUUUAUAUAAUGCUAUAAACCAAUGUUACCUCAAUAAUGGAAAUAGAUCUAUUCUUAUGAAUAUUGAAGUUUAUAACAGAGUAUUGUAGUCUAUAAUCACUAUGCUUGGCAUUAGAUCUGUAGGAUUUAUCUGGGAGUUGCAAGUUUGUACCGUUAAACAAAAUAUCUCCAAUUCCUGCAUCCCCAGUCUCUGAUAAGCACCAUUUUGUUUGCUGUUUUUAUG
rnacentral:lncRNA from 1 species